rnacentral:rRNA from 1 species
UACGGGGGGGCAAGCGUUGUUCGGAAUUACUGGGCGUAAAGGGCGCGUAGGCGGCCUUCUAAGUCAGACGUGAAAUCCCUCGGCUCAACCGAGGAACUGCGUCUGAUACUGGAAGGCUUGAAUCCGGGAGAGGGAUGUGGAAUUCCAGGUGUAGCGGUGAAAUGCGCAGAUAUCAGGAAGAACACCCGUGGCGAAAGCGGCUCUCUGGAACGGUACUGACGCUGAGACGCGAAAGCGUGGGGAGCGAACAGG